UGCUUUGAGCACUCUAGUUUCUUCAAAGUAAUGAUGCCGGAAACACGACCCGGCCAAUUAAGGCUAGGAGCGCGAUGCCGGCCGAAGGGUCGAGUUGGUCGGUGCUCGCCAUGAGGCGGACCGGCCGACCCGGCCCAAGCUCCAAUAGCGUAUAUUUAAGUUGUUGCAGUUAAAAAGCUCGUAGUUGGACCUUGGGCCGGGUCGGCCGGUCCGCCUCA